UAGUAUGGUGAUAUUUGAGAUGACUACAGGU
rnacentral:piRNA from 1 species